rnacentral:lncRNA from 1 species
GUGGUUUCCCCCUCCAACUUGAGGGGGGGUGUUGAGAUGAAAGACUACAUGGCUUCCAAACCUAAGCAUAAAUGAUUGUACACAUUGUAUAUACAUUAUAUAUUUAUUGUAUUUUCUGGUAUGCAUUGUAUUGGGCUGUGAUGAUUUGUUUUUUGGGUUGUACAUAUAUCUGAGCCCGUUUAUUUUUGUUCUUGGGCCGUCUGACGCGACCCAAGAGUGAUUGUAUAUAAAUCACUUGCACAUAUAUUUUAGAUACGGGAUUUCAUUUUAUCUUCUGGCUUUCUCCAGAAGCUUCUCAUUCUCU